GCCCCCAUAGUUGAAUCACAACAAAAGGUUUUCAAGCUUUAAGUUUGAGUUAGAAUCUCAAUGAAAGCU
rnacentral:tRNA from 1 species